rnacentral:tRNA from 1 species
CAAAAUAUAGCUAGACUAGUAUAGCAUUUCAGUUACGUUGAAAAGGUUUAUCGUGCAAAUCGAUUUAUUUUGA